UACGUAGGGUGCGAGCGUUAAUCGGAAUUACUGGGCGUAAAGCGUGCGCAGGCGGCUUUGCAAGACAGAUGUGAAAUCCCCGGGCUUAACCUGGGAAUUGCGCUUGAAACUAGCGGGCUUGAGUGUGGCAGAGGGGGGUGGAAUUCCACGUGUAGCAGUGAAAUGCGUAGAGAUGUGGAGGAACACCGAUGGCGAAGGCAGCCCCCUGGGUCAACACUGACGCUCAUGCACGAAAGCGUGGGGAGCAAACAGG
rnacentral:rRNA from 1 species